CCUCCUCCCUGCAGCUGGCUGAUGUAGCUCACUGAUGUGUGUGUAGAUAGGGAGCUGUGAGGAGAACAAGAGGUCAGAACACAUCCAGACUCCUUAAGGGAAGACCUCUUUGUGUUUUGGAAACUUUUCAAAGCCAGGGACUUGUCCAGCCCAACCUUCUCACUGCUCCUAGCUCCUGAGGCUCAGGGCCCUUGGCUUCUGUCCGCUCUGCUCAGGGCCCUCUAGCGUUGCCACUCCUCAGCCAUGCUCCUGCUGCUCGUGCCAGUGCUCGAGGUGAUUUUUACCCUGGGAGGAACCAGAGCCCAGUCUGUGACCCAGCUUGACAGCCAAGUCUCUGUCUCUGAAGGAGUCCCUGUGCUGCUGAGGUGCAACUACUCAUCGUCUGUUUCACCAUAUCUCUUCUGGUAUGUGCAAUACCCCAACCAAGGACUCCAGCUUCUCCUGAAGUACAUAUCAGGGACCACCCUGGUUAAAGGCAUCAACGGUUUCGAGGCUGAAUUUAAAAAGAGUGAAACCUCCUUCCACCUGACGAAAGCCUCAGCCCAUGUGAGCGACGCGGCUGAGUACUUCUGUGCUGUGAAUGACACAGUGCCUGAGACUGCAGGGCAGCUGAACACAAACCUCCUGAGAUACUGAGACUUUCUGUGACUCAAGAAUUUGAAGUCUGCCUUGUAUUAUUAAAUAGCAAUUCCGAGUUUCUGAUGCUUAUUGAUGUAUGCUGUAUCUUUUUCAUCUAUUUAUUUUUAAACUAACUAUGACUUUAAAUUUAAAGUGUGUUUCCUUUAAGUAGCUUUAUA